GACAAACGCUGGCGGCAUGCCUAACACAUGCAAGUCGAACGGACAGAACAGGGAAGCUUUUCGGAGUGGAACUGGAAAGUUAGUGGCGGAUGGGUGAGUAACGCGUGGACAACCUACCUUGUAAAGGGGAAUAACCUCGAGAAAUCGAAGCUAAUACCCCAUAAUAACCUUGCUUCGCAUGAAGUAAGGAGGAAAGGCGGCCUUAGCGCUUUCGAUACAAGAUGGGUCCGCGUCUGAUUAGCUAGUUGGUGAGGUAAAGGCUCACCAAGGCGACGAUCAGUAGCCGGACUGAGAGGGUGAACGGCCACAUUGGGACUGAGACACGGCCCAAACUCCUACGGGAGGCAGCAGUGGGGAAUCUUCCGCAAAGGGCGAAAGCCUGACGGAGCAAUGCCGCGUGAGUGAAGAAGGCCUUCGGGUUGUAAAACUCUGUCCUUAUCGAAGAGAGAGUGUUGUAGUAACUGACAAUACUAGGACGGUAGAUGAGGAGGAAGCCCCGGCUAACUAUGUG
rnacentral:rRNA from 1 species